rnacentral:rRNA from 1 species
UACGGAGGGUGCAAGCGUUAUCCGGAUUCACUGGGUUUAAAGGGUGCGUAGGUGGGCAGGUAAGUCAGUGGUGAAAUCUCCGGGCUUAACCCGGAAACUGCCAUUGAUACUAUCUGUCUUGAAUACCGUGGAGGUGAGCGGAAUAUGUCAUGUAGCGGUGAAAUGCUUAGGUAUGACAUAGAACACCAAUUGCGAAGGCAGCUCACUACGCGAAUAUUGACACUGAGGCACGAAAGCGUGGGGAUCAAACAGG